AGGUAUGAAACCGCAGUGGAAAGCAAUAGAUUUCAAAUGGAUAAGGGAGAACAAGGAUGUUGUUGCUUGGUAUUGCAGCCUAGUUUCAUUGAAUUUGGGUGAUAUCUGGUAGGGCUUGAAAGGAGUUCUGUUGGACAUUGGUGGCUGGAUAAUAUAGGUAAGGCUUUUGAAGAAGGAAAAACUUAUGAAUGUAUGAGUUCUAGGCAGCUAGCAGGCUUGUUCAUAACUCUUUGGUAAGUGAUUAUUGUGAAUUAAACUCUAGGAAUUAGAC